GACGAACGCUGGCGGCAGGCCUAACACAUGCAAGUCGAACGAGUGGCGAACGGGUGAGUAACGCGUAGGUAACUACCUAUUAGAGGGGGAUAACUAUUGGAAACGAUAGCUAAUACCGCAUACUAGUAGAUGGACCUGCGUUGUAUUAGCUAGUAGGUAGGGUAAUUGCCUACCUAGGCAACGAUACAUAGCCGACCUGAGAGGGUGAUCGGCCAACAUGGUACUGGGACACGGCCCAGACUCCUACGGGAGGCAGCAGUAGGGAAUCUUCGGCAAUGGGGGGAAACCUGACCGAGCAACGCCGCGUGAGUGAAGAAGGUUUUCGGAUCGUAAAGCUCUGUUGUUAAGGAAGCGGUACUUAACCAGAAAGGGACGGCUAACUACGUGCCAGCAGCCGCGGUAAUUC
rnacentral:rRNA from 1 species